UUGAAUGUUUGAAGCAGUUGAGCUGGUCUUAACGGGACAUGUGCUUGCUGCUUCUAUUCAUCUCAUCCACCUGUGCACUUAUUGUAGAGCUUUGAGGAACGUCCCCUAGGACUAGUAUUCAGGUUCUAUGUAUUUUACAAACUCUAUGAAUGUCUUGAAUUGUUUUUUAUGGGACUUAACUGACCCUUUAAACUUAUA
rnacentral:misc_RNA from 1 species